AAAAAAUUCCUCCGCGAUAUUCAUGGAACAAUCCCAAGAACCACAAAGUUAUAUCGCCAGAGGAAUGAAAUUUCAACAAAGAGAAGAAAAAUAAAUGAAACAGCUGGCCAGGAUCACAUUGUCACGGAUUACCUUACACAAGAACCCUUAAUUGAAAGUGAUGAGUGCAGUAGUGAGGGUGAAGAGGCAGGCCAGAGCCUCAAUGAUAUCGAGGACCUGAAUGUAGAGGAAGGACAGGAUGUUUUGGGCCAUGUUCAUGAUGGAGAGACUACUGACUGCUACCAACAAAACCAUCUACAAAAUGAAUGUCUGUUUGAUUCAACAUCUUUUGAUGCAGAAAACCCUAUUCAUGAAGGAUCAAACAUUACAAAGGGACAGUUACUUGCAAUGUUAAUGGCCCAUACACUUAAACAUCAUGUGUCUGGUGUAGCAUUAAAGGAGAUGCUGGAAAUGUUAAAUAGAAUUGCUCCAGGUUGUGUGCGUAACACUAUGUGGUAUCUUAGCAAAACUUUCUUUAAGCUAGCUGACAAAGCCCAAAUACAUUAUUAUUGUCCAGAAUGCCUUUUUUUCCUAG